AUAAAAUCAUUGAUUGAGAGUAGUAAUUUAUAUGAUUUCUUUACAGAGAGCCCUACUUGGUGUGAAUGGGUAAGAAUAAUUUAAAUGAAUGGACUCAUAAGAUGCUGAGGCGAAUAAAAGUAGCUUUAGACGUGUACUCACGUUACAGGGUAAGGAUAUCGGUUUUUGAACCUGUAUCUGAUUGAGAUGGGAUUUUUUAUUAUCCUAAGGAAGAUGGCACCGUGAUUAACACUCGCUCUUUCA
rnacentral:ncRNA from 1 species